rnacentral:rRNA from 1 species
GAUGAACGCUAGCGGCAGGCCUAACACAUGCAAGUCGAGGGGUAGACAUCUUCGGAUGUUGAGACCGGCGCACGGGUGCGUAACGCGUAUGCAAUCUACCUUAUACUAAGGGAUAGCCCAGAGAAAUUUGGAUUAAUACCUUAUGGUUAAUAAAGCCGGCAUCGGUUUAAUUAUAAAGAUUUAUUGGUAUAAGAUGAGCAUGCGUCCCAUUAGUUAGUUGGUAAGGUAACGGCUUACCAAGACGAUGAUGGGUAGGGGUCCUGAGAGGGAGCUCCCCCACACUGGUACUGAGACACGGACCAGACUCCUACGGGAGGCAGCAGUGAGGAAUAUUGGUCAAUGGACGGAAGUCUGAACCAGCCAUGCCGCGUGCAGGAUGAAGCAUCUAUGGUGUGUAAACUGCUUUUGUACGGAAAGAAAAAAAGCUACGUGUAGCUUACUGACGGUACCGUAAGAAUAAGGAUCGGCUAACUCCGUGCCAGCAGCCGCCGUAA